GACGAACGCUGGCGGCGUGCUUAACACAUGCAAGUCGAACGGAAAGGCCCUGCUUUUGUGGGGUGCUCGAGUGGCGAACGGGUGAGUAACACGUGAGUAACCUGCCCUUGACUUUGGGAUAACUUCAGGAAACUGGGGCUAAUACCGGAUAGGAGCUCCUGCUGCAUGGUGGGGGUUGGAAAGUUUCGGCGGUUGGGGAUGGACUCGCGGCUUAUCAGCUUGUUGGUGGGGUAGUGGCUUACCAAGGCUUUGACGGGUAGCCGGCCUGAGAGGGUGACCGGCCGCCUGUGUGCGGCUAGCCGGCCGAGGCUGGUGAGGGGGGCGGCGGGGGGCUUGCUUGUACAAGGCGCGCGAGGCUGGACCAGUGGCGGCGAUCGGGGUAUGGGGGCCUGCGGUGUGUACCGCUGGUGCGCGUGUGAUGAAGCGGGGGGGAGAGUAAGGGAUAAAGACGCAAGGACCAACUACCCCCAGGAGGCCGCGGAAAUCAUCGCACUCCCCGCGUCUGCCC
rnacentral:rRNA from 1 species